rnacentral:lncRNA from 1 species
GUCGCCUAGCGGCAGGUCAGGUCCAGGUCAGGUCGCCUAGCGGCAGGUCAGGUCCAGGUCAGGUCGCCUAGCGGCAGGUCAGGUCCAGGUCGCCUAGCUGCAGGUCAGGUCCAGGUCGCCUGGUCAGGUCCGGUCGCCUGGCGGCUGGUCAGGUCAGGUCCGGUCGCCUGGCGGCAGGUCAGGUCAGGUCAGGUCGCCUAGCGGCAGGUCAGGUCCAGGUCAGGUCGCCUAGCGGCAGGUCAGGUCCAGGUCAGGUCGCCUAGCUGCAGGUCAGGUCCAGGUCAGGUCGCCUGGCGGCAGGUCAGGUCCAGGUCGCCUGGCGGCAGGUCAGGUCCAGGUCGCCUAGCUGCAGGUCAGGUCCAGGUCGCCUGGUCAGGUCCGGUCGCCUGGCGGCUGGUCAGGUCAGGUCCGGUCGCCUGGCGGCAGGUCAGGUCAGGUCCGGUCGCCUGGUGGCAGGUCAGGCCAGGUCCGGUCGCCUGGCGGCAGGUCAGGUCCAGGUCGCCUGGCGGCAGGUCAGGUCGCCUGGCGGCGGUUAAGAGAUUUGGGCUAGUAACUGAAAGGUCGCUGGUUCGAAUCCCUCAAACCAGGUGAAAAAUCUGCCCGAUGUGCCCUUGAGCAAGGCACUUAACAUGAAUUGCUCCUGUAAGUCGUUUUGGAUAAGAGCGUCUGCUAAAUGACAUGAAUGUAAGUGGAAUGUUGAACAUCCUCUUCUCUAAUAGCUGUUUUAUUAGAGCAUGUUCAGUUCUGUCAGUGUAAAGGCAUGUCAUCACCUGUCAGCAGUGCUGUGAAUAAGCCCCACUUGUUACAACAGGCUACGCUGGGUGCAGACAGAGAUGACCCAGAACUGACAGGAAUUAAUUAGCCAUUUCACAUUAUGGAUCAUGACCACACUGACUGUAUCAAUAUUCUGACUGUAUAGUGCAAAUGCCACAUAGCAAUUAUUAAAUUGAAUAAUUAGGGAUUUAUAAAAACUAAAAAGAAUGUUAAUUACAUUAUACACAGGUCCAAC